AUGCGCAGUCCACACCAAGAUCUCUCCACCCUCUCGUCCUCCCUUUUUCUCACCCGCCACCUCCGCGCUAUUAGUACCCGCGACGCCAUCUCUCCCCUCCCAACCCCUCGCCGCCACCACCCUCCGCCCCCCCGUCUCCGUCGAGUCCACCGGCUCGGCUCCCACCCACCCGCCGCUCAUCCUCCCAUCUCCUCCUCGCGAGGCGCGGACGCGAGGCUCGGCUACAGUAGGCGGGCGAGGCCGCGAGUCAUGGGGCCGGCGCCGAGGGCCGGGGGCGAGCCAAUGAAGCAGCGGGUGAACCGCUGCCUGCACCGCCUGUCCGACCGGGACACGGAGGCCAUGGCCGCCAACGAGCUCGACGCGAUCGCGCGCGGGCUCGACGCCGACGAGCUCCCGCUCUUCCUCGCCGCCGUCUCCGACACGCGGGCCACCGACAAGGCGCCGCUGCGGCGCCACUCGCUGCGCCUGCUCGCGCUCCUCGUCGCCGCGCACCCGCGCGACGCCGUCGCGCCGCUCGUGCCCAGGCUCGUCGCCGCCGCGCUGCGCCGGGUGCGCGACCCGGACUCCUCCGUGCGCGCCGCGCUCGUCGACGCCGCGCGCGCCAUCGCCGGGGCUGCCGCGCCCCCCGCGGCGCUCGUCCCGCUCGCCGACGCCGUGCUCCACGAGCAGGACCAGUGCGCGCAGCUCGCCGCCGCGCUCGCGGCGGCGGCCGCCGUCGAGGCCUCCGCCCCCAACGCCGACCUCGCCGACUACCUCCUCGCGCUCCUCCCGCGCCUCCUCAAGCUCCUCCGCAGCACCGCCUUCAAGGCCAAGCCCGCGCUCAUCUCCCUCAUCGGCGCCGCCUCGGCGGCCACCGACGGCGAGGGCGCCGCCACCGCGGUGCCCUGCCUUCGCGACGCGCUCGCCGGGGACGACUGGGCCGCCAGGAAGGCCGCCGCCGAGGCGCUGGCGCUGCUGGCCCUGGAGCACGGCGACGACCUUGCCGCCCACAAACCCUCCUGCAUUGCCGUCUUCGAGGCCAAGAGAUUCGACAAGGUGAAGAUUGUGCGGGAGUCCAUGAACCGGAUGAUCGAGGCGUGGAGGGAGAUCCCGGACGCGGAGGAGGAUGUGUGCUCCUCCGCCGCGUCGCCGGCCCAGACCAGAUCUCCUUCUCUCGCAGAUAGUGCAAGUGAUGGUCGAUACCCUGCUGAUUCCUUAGGCUCCAAUUCCGUCCAGUCAGUUACAAAGAGGAACAUGCUGCCGGCAAGCAGGUCACCGCCGUCAGUCAGUAACCGAAGGACCAGUCCUUCCAUCAGAAGCAAGAAGAGCUCGCCGCCUUCACACGGCGGCGAUGUGGACCAAGCCAAGAAAUAUGACUACAAGGUCGACGUUACCGGUGCAGCAGAUGCCACCCCGAUCAAGACGGUGACUGGGGAGAAGCUUCUGAAAGAGGGCAAUGUUAGAGCAAGGCUUGAAGCACGGAAGAUGCUGUUCCAGAAGAGUGGUGAAAAAGGGUACAAUAAGUUAGUCGGGCGCAAGUCAGGGUCUAGAGUUGUUCCAUACAACAACGAGGAUGGUGACUCGGAAGAGAGCACCGAGGUUGAGGAUGAUGGGCCGGAGGAGGUUCAGUCGGACCACUCCUCCGAGGAGCUUCAGUUGGUUCACAAAGAUGAAGACCUGUCCAAGAUCAGGAUGCAGCUGGUUCAGAUAGAGAAUCAGCAGACAAACUUGCUCGACCUUCUCCAGAAAUUCAUGGGGAGCUCCCAGAAUGGGAUACGUUCGUUGGAGACAAGGGUGAACGGUCUGGAAAUGGCACUGGACGAGAUCUCGCGUGAUCUGGCCGCCUCUUCUGGAAGGAUGCCAAGCAGCGAACCUGACAUGAACUGCUGCAUCCCGAGCCCAAAAUUCUGGAGAAAAAAUGAAGGCGGUAGAUACACUUCAAGGUACCCCGUCUCCGACCUAGCAAACCACCCCGAGGAGAGCAGAGCUUCUUCUAAGUGGGAGAGGCAGAAGUUUGGAGUUCAGGGUGGGUUCGUCACCAACCCAUUAGCAGAGCCAAACACCUCAUACGUAAGGAGCACGUUGGUUGCUCAGGAAGGCAGGAGGCAGAAUUCAGCCCAAUACAAGUCGAGGACGCGUUAG
rnacentral:rRNA from 1 species